rnacentral:rRNA from 1 species
GGAUUAGAUACCCUGGUAGUCCACGCCGUAAACGAUGGAUGCUAGGUGUCGGGGAGCGAUCUUCGGUGCCGUAGUUAACGCGUUAAGCAUCCCGCCUGGGGAGUACGGUCGCAAGGCUGAAACUCAAAGAAAUUGACGGGGGCCCGCACAAGCGGUGGAGUAUGUGGUUUAAUUCGAUCAACGCGAAGAACCUUACCUGGGUUUGACAUCCUUGGAAUUCUCUAGAGAUAGUGAAGUGCCCUUCGGGGAGCCAAGUGACAGGUGCUGCAUGGCUGUCGUCAGCUCGUGUCG